CCAUGUUAGGUUUUCUGAUUUGAAGUUGUUGUUGUUUCUUUUGAUUUCUGAGAUCAAGAAGAAUCAUCACUGUUUCGGAAGAAUAGCAACAGAAUCAAGGUGAUUUUCAGUUGGGUUGAAGAAUAAUUUAGGAGUAUGUGGAUUCAAUUUUAUAAAUCAGGUAGGAGGACUAGCAGUACCUAAUCACAUGACAUGUUAUUCUGGUCUCGGUGGUGCACUCAGUUUUAUUAUGUACAGUUUUUCCUAACCCUUCAACUGUCUAUGAGCUAAUAGUAGUGGAGAAUACAAAUUUUUUAUCUCCUAUGUUUAGUUAAUACUGGAC